GUGACGACAGUCACAACAACAACAACAACAACAACACGUGCCGAUUCUGCAGAUGAUUUAGUCUUCAAAGUUUUUACUGACACUUUGACAGCACAUCUUUCAGCUCAGCUGGAAACUAAACCGAGCGAUAAAACGAGUGUCACGCGACUCACCUUCUUGAAUCUUCAGAAUAAGUGAUGCAUUGUUCGUUGUAAACUCAUCCGGCUGAAGCAGAUCUCUGGACGUGUGGACAGAUGUUGACUGUAAUGAUGGACAGAAAUGUGGGAGGACUCACCAGUCCCAGCAUGCAAGUGGAUUCUUUUAUUGCUCCACAGCAGCCGAGGAACCCGACCACCAUCAUGACGGCACCUGCCACAGUGAGGAUGUAGACCCCUGAGGUGGAGAAAGAGACCACACUAUUACUCCC